rnacentral:rRNA from 1 species
UGGGGAAUUUUGGACAAUGGGCGAAAGCCUGAUCCAGCAAUGCCGCGUGUGUGAAGAAGGCCUUCGGGUUGUAAAGCACUUUUGUCCGGAAAGAAAUCCUCUGGGUUAACACCUCGGGGGGAUGACGGUACCGGAAGAAUAAGCACCGGCUAACUACGUGCCAGCAGCCGCGGUAAUACGUAGGGUGCAAGCGUUAAUCGGAAUUACUGGGCGUAAAGCGUGCGCAGGCGGUUUUGUAAGACGGAUGUGAAAUCCCCGGGCUUAACCUGGGAACUGCAUUCGUGACUGCAAGGCUAGAGUAUGGCAGAGGGGGGUAGAAUUCCACGUGUAGCAGUGAAAUGCGUAGAGAUGUGGAGGAAUACCGAUGGCGAAGGCAGCCCCCUGGGCCAAUACUGACGCUCAUGCACGAAAGCGUGGGGAGCAAACAGGAUUAGAUACCCUGGUAGUCCACGCCCUAAACGAUGUCAACUAGUUGUUGGGGAUUCAUUUCCUUAGUAACGUAGCUAAUGCGUGAAGUUGACCGCCUGGGGAGUACGGUCGCAAGAUUGAAACUCAAAUGAAUUGACGGGGUCAUAGCUGUUUCCU